rnacentral:lncRNA from 10 species
UGGUGAGAGAAGAGACUGGAGGCAGCCUGUUGUGGUCAGAGCCUCCUGCUAUUGUCAAUUUCUCCUCACUGUCCCCUUUACCAGGAAGGCAGUGUCAGUUUGAUCAGCUGCCAGUCUGUUUGCCCUCAUUCCCCCUGGCCCUGCCCUGAGUCCAGCGACCUGGAUUUGAAACCUGCAUCUGUCACUUACUAGCUGAGGGAUCUUGGGCAAGACAUUUCAGCCCUUUUCUGCUUAAAUAGAGUUAAGACAGCCUAUGAAUGAAACUAUAUAAACCAAGGCAUUUCUGACUCCAGUAGGAGGCAGCUGCUGUGAGGGAGAAGCCCUGGCCAGGAAUCUGUUAUAGUUAUUUUGUCACCAACUGGAAUGGCCUUGGGACAAAGCACAACAGCUGUCUUGACCUCAUCAAUAGCCUUGACCUCAUCCCUCGUGUCAUGCUGUGUCAUCUUCAACAUCUGUCACUUCCAUCAGCCUUAGCAUUGGCCUUGGCCUCAGUUUCCUCAUGUGUGACUUGAGGAUGAUGAUUCUUAUAGGAAUCAAUAAGCUUGGGAUAAAGAAGCUAUUGGGUCACAUUAUACAUACUUUAAAUGCAUUAAGUGGGGUCUGCAGUUCCUAGAGAUUAGCAGAUUGCAUUGCGUGAGAACAGAGCCAUAGAGAAUGUUUGAGGUCCCAUUAAUAGCUGAUAGGAGGCUGAUCAGUAAACACUGGGAGGGGAGGAUUGACUCUUGGGUGAAGAGUUGGAGGAGGGUGGAGGAUUGAGUCUUGGGUGAAGAGUUGGAGGGUGGAGGAUUGAGUCUUGGGUGAAGAGUUGGAGGGUGGAGGAUUGAGUGUUGGGUGAAUUGAGUCUUGGAUGAAGAGUUGGAGGGUGGAGGAUUGAGUCUUGGGUGAAGAGUUGAUUGGAAAACAAAGCUGAACAGAAAACCAGGGCAUCAUCAACACUGAUGAGUAAUUUUUUUUCUCUAUAAAAUGAUUAUUUAGAUUAAGAAAAGGAAUGACAAAUUUUGAAAAGCCGACAAACACCACAAACUCCAGAAAAAAAAGAAUCCUGACAUUUUUACUAAGUGACAGACACACCUUCGCCUUUAAAACACUCUGUCCCCCCCAUAUUUCUUGGCUGCAGACUCUUUGAUCACAUUUUCGUGUGACAGUGAUUUUGUAAUAUUUUCUAUGGGGAGAAUAGAAAGAUAAUUCCGUCUCUCCUUUGGCAGUAGGCAUGUCCCUGUGAGGGAGGAGAUCAGCAGGAUUUUUCCAAGCACCUGUCAAAACCCUGCUGAUCAAAACAGAACAUAACAAUAACAAAGAAUGGCCAAAACCAGCUCGGAAUAGGAAUUAAAAUGCAUUUGCAUAAGAUACUCCCACCAGGGCCAUGACAGUUUACAAAUGAUCCCACGGCAAUAACCCAGGAAUUAUCUUAUAUGGUUCCAGGAACUUCCUGUUCCUAGUUUAUGAAUAACCUGCCUCUUAUUUAGCAUAUAAUUAGCAGGGGGUAUAAAUAUAGCUAGCCAGCAAUCCUGGAGUGCUAUUCUACCUGUGGGGUAGCCCUGCUCUGUCUGUGGAGCAGCCAUUUUGCUGUACAAUGUUGCUUUAAUAAACUUGCUUUGCUUUCAGUUUUGUCUGUUAGCUCACUCUUGAAUUCCUUCCUGAGCAAAGCCAAAAACCCUCCCCGGCUGAGUCCCGAUACGGGGAUUUGCUUACAUCAGCCAGAAGUAAUUUAUGCACAAAGAUAACUAUAGCAAUUUUUAGUAGAUACAGAAGUGACUUCAAAGCCCAGAAAUGUGUCCCACUAAACUCAUACAAAAUGAU